rnacentral:rRNA from 1 species
UACGGAGGAUGCAAGCGUUAUCCGGAAUGAUUGGGCGUAAAGCGUCCGCAGGUGGCAAUGUAAGUCUGCUGUCAAAGCGUCUGGCUCAACCAGAUAAAGGCAGUGGAAACUACAUAGCUAGAGUAAGGUAGGGGUAGAGGGAAUUUCUGGUGUAGCGGUGAAAUGCGUAGAGAUCAGGAAGAACACCGGUGGCGAAAGCGCUCUGCUGGACCUUAACUGACACUGAGGGACGAAAGCUAGGGGAGCGAAUGGG